UCCACUGCAAAGGAAUUUUAAUUUGAAUCUCCUGGAGGUGUCUGGCAUCGAACUGGCGUGUUGCCUUUGUUGCAAGAGGCCAGUAACAAAGUGUUUGUCGUCUCCCUACAGCAGCGCAUCAGGGCAAACCCAUCUUUCUAUCAUUUGCGGUAAAUCAACACCUUCCACAAAGGUCCUUGGCAGGAAGUGGUUGCAGGCUUUCAGUGGAGAGGUUGGAAAGACAUCUUCAGUCCACAGUCCGAGCCAACAUUCACAAUGAGCAGUCCAAGCAAUUAUCAAUGGCCCAUCCAGCCGAGGAAUUCUCAGGACACAGUCAGUUUUCGGAGUCUCCACAUGUUGGACAGGGAGUCACAAGCAUGAGAAAGGAAUUUCUACAGCAGAAAGCACUCCUUUGGAAAGGGUAAAAACUGGUUGACAUUCCCCACACAGAAAACUUGUAUAAUAUGCCCCAAUCCCAGGUGAAUGAUCGCUAUGUAAAUAUAUUUUUGAAGUGGUCAUUAGCUAUUCAAAGACAUAACAUGUAUUGUAUCUUUUUUCUAAACUGUGUUAGCCAGAAUAGUCAUUUUAUUGGAAUUGUUUAAUCUUUAAAUAUAAUUUGUCCUUGAAGGCAAAAUGAUUUAUCAGUUUUGAAGCCUAAACGUGGGAUGAUUUUGGGGACAGAUAACACUGGAAGUGCAAAAGGAUCAUUGGAUUUGUUUAAUUUCAUUAAAUGUUCAUGAGACCAGAUCUUCUGAGGGAGUAUGUUGACAACUGAUACACAGAUUACUUAUGUACGGUUUGUGUAUGCAGAUGUCUUGUGUCAUACUGGUUUUCUUAAAGUGUAACUCAGCUUUACUUUGUCGAUGAUAUGUCUAUUCUCAAUUAAAGCAGCUUUAUUUCUCUUUUUC